rnacentral:misc_RNA from 1 species
GUAGAUACCAGAAAGGGUUUUGCUUACUGUGUUAAUUUGAUUUUCUCCGCAUUUUUUUAAAGUUGAGUUGAUUUUGUGUUUGGUUGCUGAGAAAUUGCGGGAAAGUAUAAGAUAUCUGGAGAGAAAAUCUGAAUUUUUAAGUAUCUAUUGUGCCAGUGUUUGUUGGAGUAAAGUUGACUUUUUCAUAUCUCUUGCAGAAUCGAAGUUUCAUUUUCUUGAUGGUCUUUCUUUCAUACUUUCCCCCUUUUGCUUAGUGAUUUGUUUGCUUCCCGAGAAAAUGUUAGGAUUAUGCAUUUUCGACAUUUUGGAUUCUGAAAGGUUGACUACUUGUCAUCAGAGCUUAGUAUAACUAAUUGGCUUACUUGAUUAUUUCUUUUCGUUCAUUUUAAAAAAAAAAAGAUUUGCAUCUUGUCAGAGUUCUUAGAUUUUGAAAUAGGGGUUCUAUAAUAGCGCAAUAUGUAAGUGAUGGAUUUUUCUUGCGGGUCUGGACAUGCAAGACAAGAAAGAGAAGCGGAUGGAGCCAACCUCUCCGAUGCUUCUUCUGUAAUUAUGCUCAUAGUCAAGAUAAUCCCCUUGUUUGGAAUGAAUUGAUUUCUUUUUAGUUAAUUUUCAUGUUUGAGUGAAAUUCAACUCUUUUUAACUUGAAAAAUUUUUAUUUAAAAAUAAAUAGAAAGUAAGAA